ACCAUAUGAAAUUUGACCUUGCUCAAAAAUGCAAAAUUGACUGGUCUGAUGAACACAGGAUGGCCGAGCAGUGAUAGUUGUACAUUUCCAUCACUCGUUGUGUUGAUUUCAUCAUCUCCGUUAGGUGAUGUUUUUACACUAUAGAAUCAUAUUGCAAAUGCACGUGCAUUGUUGUGCAACUGGUAACCCAAAAAUAAAAAAUAUGGUUGUAAAUGCAUUUACCGGUCAUUCUGAUAUUAAUGCUCGCUAUGGGAACACAGGAUGGCCGGGCAGUGAUAGUUGUACAUUUCCAUCACUCGUUGUGUUGAUUUCAUCAUGUCCAUUAGGUGAUGUUUUUACACUAUAGAAUCAUAUUGCAAGUGCGCGCGCAUUUGCAAUAUGUUUCAAUGUGCAUUUACCAUAUGAAAUUUGACAUGCUCAAAAAUGCAAAAUUGACUGGUCUGAUGGACACAGGAUGGCCGAGCAGUGAUAGUUGUACAUUUCCAUCACUCGUUGUGUUGAUUUCAUCAUGUCCAUUAGGUGAUGUUUUUACACUAUAGAAUCAUAUUGCAAGUGCGCGCGCAUUUGCAAUAUGUUUCAAUGUGCAUUUACCAUAUGAAAUUUGACAUGCUCAAAAAUGCAAAAUUGACUGGUCUGAUGGACACAGGAUGGCCGAGCAGUGAUAGUUGUACAUUUCCAUCACUCGUUGUGUUGAUUUCAUCAUGUCCAUUAGGUGAUGUUUUUUCACUAUAGAAUCAUAUUGCAAGUGCGCGCGCAUUUGCAAUAUGUUUCAAUGUGCAUUUACCAUAUGAAAUUUGACAUGCUCAAAAAUGCAAAAUUGACUGGUCUGAUGAACACAGGAUGGCUGAGCAGUGAUAGUUGUACAUUUCCAUCACCUGUUGUGUUGAUUUCAUCAUGUCCAUUUGUUUAUGUUUUCUCACUUUUGCAAAGUCACUGUGCAUUUGCAAUAUGGUUCAAUGGGCAGGUACCAUCACGAAUUUGUCAUGCUAUAAAAAUCCUGCAGGAAUGUGAAAUUGACUGGUCUGAUGAACACAGGAUGGCCGAGCAGUGAUAGUUGUACAUUUCCAUCACUUGUUGUGUUGAUUUCAUCAUGUCCAUUAGGUGAUGUUUUUUCACUAUAGAAUCAUAUUGCAAAUGCACGUGCAUUGUUGUGCAACUGGUAACCCAAAAAUUAAAAUAUGGUUGUAAAUGCAUUUACCGGUCAUUCUGAUAUUAAUGCUCGCUAUGGGAACACAGGAUGGCCGGGCAGUGAUAGUUGUACAUUUCCAUCACUCGUUGUGUUGAUUUCAUCAUGUCCAUUAGGUGAUGUUUUUACACUAUAGAAUCAUAUUGCAAGUGCGCGCGCAUUUGCAAUAUGUUUCAAUGUGCAUUUACCAUAUGAAAUUUGACAUGCUCAAAAAUGCAAAAUUGACUGGUCUGAUGGACACAGGAUGGCCGAGCAGUGAUAGUUGUACAUUUCCAUCACUCGUUGUGUUGAUUUCAUCAUGUCCAUUAGGUGAUGUUUUUACACUAUAGAAUCAUAUUGCAAGUGCGCGCGCAUUUGCAAUAUGUUUCAAUGUGCAUUUACCAUAUGAAAUUUGACAUGCUCAAAAAUGCAAAAUUGACUGGUCUGAUGGACACAGGAUGGCCGAGCAGUGAUAGUUGUACAUUUCCAUCACUCGUUGUGUUGAUUUCAUCAUGUCCAUUAGGUGAUGUUUUUACACUAUAGAAUCAUAUUGCAAGUGCGCGCGCAUUUGCAAUAUGUUUCAAUGUGCAUUUACCAUAUGAAAUUUGACAUGCUCAAAAAUGCAAAAUUGACUGGUCUGAUGGACACAGGAUG